rnacentral:rRNA from 1 species
CGUAGGGUGCGAGCGUUAAUCGGAAUUACUGGGCGUAAAGCGUGCGCAGGCGGUUUAGUAAGACAGGCGUGAAAUCCCCGGGCUCAACCUGGGAACUGCGCUUGUGACUGCUAAGCUAGAGUACGGCAGAGGGGGUGGAAUUCCACGUGUAGCAGUGAAAUGCGUAGAGAUGUGGAAGAACACCAAUGGCGAAGGCAGCCCCCUGGGUCGAUACUGACGCUCAUGCACGAAAGCGUGGGUAGCAAACAGGAUUAGAUACCCUGGUAGUCCACGCCCUAAACGAUGUCAACUAGGUGUUGGGAGGGUAAAACCUUUUAGUACCGGAGUUAACGCGUGAAGUUGACCGCCUGGGGAGUACGGCCGCAAGGUUA